CUAAUACAUGCAAGUCGAGCGGAUCUUCAUUAGCUUGCUUUUGAAGAUCAGCGGCGGACGGGUGAGUAACACGUGGGCAACCUGCCUGUAAGACUGGGAUAACUUCGGGAAACCGGAGCUAAUACCGGAUAAUCCUUUCCCUCACAUGAGGGAAAGCUGAAAGACGGCUUCUCGCUGUCACUUACAGAUGGGCCCGCGGCGCAUUAGCUAGUUGGUGAGGUAACGGCUCACCAAGGCAACGAUGCGUAGCCGACCUGAGAGGGUGAUCGGCCACACUGGGACUGAGACACGGCCCAGACUCCUACGGGAGGCAGCAGUAGGGAAUCUUCCGCAAUGGACGAAAGUCUGACGGAGCAACGCCGCGUGAACGAUGAAGGCUUUCGGGUCGUAAAGUUCUGUUGUCAGGGAAGAACAAGUACCGGAGUAACUGCCGGUACCUUGACGGUACCUGACCAGAAAGCCACGGCUAACUACGUGCCAGCAGCCGCGGUAAUACGGAUGUGGCAAGCGUUGUCCGGAAUUAUUGGGGCGUAAAGCGCGCGCAGGCGGUUCCUUAAGUCUGAUGUGAAAGCCCCCGGCUCAACCCGGGGAGGGUCAUUGGAAACUGGGGGAACUUGAGUGCAGAAGAGGAGAGC
rnacentral:rRNA from 1 species